rnacentral:rRNA from 1 species
UGGGGGAUAUUGCACAAUGGGCGCAAGCCUGAUGCAGCGACGCCGCGUGGGGGAUGAAGGCCUUCGGGUUGUAAACUUCUUUUGCCCUGAACAAGGCGCACUUUGGGGUGUGUUGAGUGUAGGGGUUGAUUAGCGCCGGCUAACUACGUGCCAGCAGCCGCGGUAAUACGUAGGGCGCGAGCGUUGUCCGGAAUUAUUGGGCGUAAAGGGCUUGUAGGUGGCUGGUUGCGUCUGUCGUGAAAGCUCAUGGCUUAACUGUGGGUUUGCGGUGGGUACGGGCUGGCUUGAGUGCAGUAGGGGAGGCUGGAAUUCCUGGUGUAGCGGUGGAAUGCGCAGAUAUCAGGAGGAAUACCGGUGGCGAAGGCGGGUCUCUGGGCUGUUACUGACACUGAGGAGCGAAAGCAUGGGGAGCGAACAGG